rnacentral:rRNA from 1 species
CAGUCGCCGCGGGAAUACGGAGGGUGCAAGCGUUAAUUGGAAUUACUGGGCGUAAAGCGCACGCAGGCGGUCUGACAAGUCAGAUGUGAAAUCCCCGGGCUUAACCUGGGAACUGCAUUUGAAACUGUCAGGCUGGAGUCUUGUAGAGGGGGGUAGAAUUCCAGGUGUAGCGGUGAAAUGCGUAGAGAUCUGGAGGAAUACCGGUGGCGAAGGCGGCCCCCUGGACAAAGACUGACGCUCAGGUGCGAAAGCGUGGGGAGCAAACAGGAUUAGAUACCCGCGUAGUCCCUGUCUCUUAUAC